rnacentral:rRNA from 1 species
GUGACUCUGUUCAACGGCCGCGGGUAUCCUAACCGUGGGAAGGUAGCGUAAUCCACUUGUUCUUUAAAUGAGGACUAGUAUGAAAGGCGUCAGGAGGGUAGCGCUGUCUCCUCUCUCUAAUCAGUGAGACUAAUCUCCCCGUGAAGAAUGCGGGGAUUUAUAUAUAAGACGAGAAGGCCCUAUGGAGCUUUAAAUGGCAAUAACGAUUGCGACACCUUUUAGUCCAGAAAGUUUCCUUUUAUCCCAUCAUCAUUAUUAAUUGUAGGUUGGGGUGAGCGCGGAGCGCAGAACAACCUCCGUAUUGGAAUAGAUUCUUAGCAAAGAGUCGCAGCUUUACGCAUCAACAAAUUGGCUUCGAGUGUCCCAGUGGUUUGGCCAGGGGAGCUAGUGAGACUACGGAGAGCAGCGCAAUCCACUGCGAGAGCAAAUAUCGACAAGUGGGUUAACGACCUCGAUGUUGGAUCAGGG